ACAAAAUUCAGCUGAAUAAAUCACCCUGAAUUUCUUAAAUCUGAGUUAGUGAGGAGCUUCAGGAACAUCAUCCAGAGCAGUGGACCGAAGGAGCAGAACUCCGGCACAGCUCUGCCCGUGUGAGCUGCAGCGUUAGCUGCAAUGCUGGGAGCUCUGCUGAGAUGAGAGCUGUGUUAAAUUUAGCUCCAGGAUUCACAUACUGCACUCACUUCAUUGGAAGGGUUUGGUUUGCAUGUAGCAUAUUUCAGCUAGCUGUGCAUCUCCUUGGGGAGUAAAUCACAGCCUGAAUGAGAACAUUCACACACAUUUAUGACAUUCAUGCUGUGUGCCAUUGGAGGCUCUGCAUGCAUUCAGACUUUAAAGCUAGCACUAUCUCUGCCCUGCUUCCUGGGUUCUCAGUUUCUGUAACUGAUCAUUAAGAGCAGUGAAACUCAACGAGAGAAUGCUUUUUCUGUGUCUUGCAAACUUAUUUACAUAGAAAGAAGCUUCUCCCUUUAAGAUUUCCACUGCAGAGAGCUCUUCUCCGUCGCUCCCUCCAAACACGGCCCAUGUGAGUAACUGCACUUGUAUAACUCGUUGUCUCACAUGCCCCAAAUAAAAGUGUAAGAACUCCAAAGAGUAAGGAAAAUGCUUAAGAGCCAGUUUGAGGUGUUAUGUAAUGGUCGUUACAUAAAGUUUUGGAUGUCUUUAUAGUUUAAGACAUUACUGCCUUAAAAAACAAACCCACAAACUGCGGUUUUGUUUCAAAGCAUCUGAUAGGAAUUUAAGCCUAUAAUAUAAAUUGGGAUUGGAGGUUGGUUGUGUCGCAGGAUGAGAGCACAGAGCUCCAUUGACACAGCAGUUAUGCCCUGAAACAUCUCCGGGGAGCUGUGGGUGCCCCGGCAGGGUUUGCCCCGUGCUGUCAGUUCGGGGGCUGGCAGUGAUUGUGGAUGAGCAGCCGUGAGAGCUUUCAUCGCUUCACAGCAGUGCGUUCAGAAAGGAGCCUUUGCAAAGUCUGCAACUUGUUGAACUUUACCCCUUUUUGAACUUCAAAGUGCAUUUUCCAAAUAGAAAUAUGCUGUAACUAGCUAGCCAACCUUGUUAGACACCACUGCUGAGUUAUGAGCGGUUGCAUGCAAGCAGCAAGCACAGGUUUGAGUGCUUAAAAAUACAUACAGCAAGGCUGCUGUGAGCACGGUGGGCUGUGCAGGGCAUGGAGGUUGGCUGCAGCCGUAGUUGGUGCUGCACAGACUGCUGCAGGGCAGUGAUACGCUCUUCCUCUGCUCCAUCGUCUUCUCCUUGAGUAAACCUACAUGUGGAAGGGAGUACCUUAGUUUGGAUGAAAGAAAUGGAAUAUAUCCCAAUUCGGCUUCCAGAAAUGAUCUCCCACCACAAUGACUUCUGAUCAAUGAAGGGAUGGCCAAAUACUUGGGGGUUUUUUAGGUGAAAUUCCCCUCAACUUCACUAUUCUAGGCACAGCUUUGAGUGUAAGCAGCACUGCUGAGCUGACGGCCAGGCAGGAAAAGAGCUGAAAAUAAAAAUGAGUACACCGCCAUGGUGUCUGAGCUGGCAGCUAAUGAGGAGCAGCAGGGGGUGGUCAGUGGGAGGCAGAGGGUUUCCACACUCAGCACUUUGCUGCCAGCUGGUCCUGGUGCCCCUGCUUGCAAUAUGCAACGUCCCUCAGUCUGUGGGGCCUAAGGGAAAAUACCAACCUCAGGCUGUCCAUGGAAAGGACCCUAAAAAUUGUGUUUAUGAAGCUGCUCCUCCGACAAGGUGUGCUGGCAGCACUCAGCAGGCACCGAGUGGUGCAGUUGUGCUUUUCUGGAUGUUGCUGUGACUUACAGGUCUGUGACAAGUGAAUUUGGGUUUCUUUAACCUGUUCUCUAAAACAUCAGUGAUGUUACGAACACGAGCUCAGCUUCCUGUUGCCAAGUUCUGUCCAGCUGAAAUAAAGGAACAUAGCAAAUGAGGAGGAAGGUCCCGUAACUGCUCUAAGGAGGCUUCUGCAAACACAGGGUUGGACUAUUCUCCUUCUCAAAGGAGACCUCCUUUAGAGACCAGUGCCUCUUCUUUUGUAAUCAAACCUCCUCUGCUCUCCAUUGCUGAUUGGAAAUGGAUUUGCACGUGCUGUGCUUUCAUUGCAAUCUCCUGGCUGGUCAGUGUUAGAUGGUUUUAUGGGGUGAACGUGGGCACAGUGCUCCCUGAUGCAGGGCCGCUCCAGCUGGCACUCACACGCCUGCCUCAGGAUGCAGCUCUGGUCCAUCCCUCCAUGUCCCUGUGCAGUGGUUUCCUCUGUCACUGAGGAGGCUCUCAGCUGUGCCUUAGGAAGAGGAGCUGUCUGCUCCCCUGCUCCUCUGCUUGCUCCUCCCUGGCGACCGGAGACAGUCUGAGCUCCCUGAAAUUGUGAUGAAGUAGGAAUAAGGCUUUGCUCAGAAGGUGGACAGGUGGUGCAGUGAGAAAAAUGGCCGGGAUGGCGUACAUUGCAGCUAAUGAAAUGUGAGUUUACGUGGCCACCCAUAGCUGAUGUGUGUUUUAUGGUUGAGUUCUUCCAUGAGAUGAGUGCUGCUAGCAGUGAUGUGCUUCAUAUUUCUUUUGAGAACUUUGUACACUCCUCAGGCAUAAAAUAUUAUAGAUUCAGUAUGGUUGGAAAAGAUCACCAAGAUCAUCCAGCCCAACUGAAUGAAAAUGUUUGUGAAUGAUAAUAACUGCAUCAUGUUUUAAUGCUGAUAAAUAAUAUCCAUACUGCUGUCAUGCCCAUAAUUGGUGCUGGGGAGGGCGUGGGGAGAAUGCAGUUUAAUUCCAAAAAUUGCCAUUAAAAAAAAAGUCUGAAACCAGAGUUUGGAUGAAGUCUUAGGAGUGCACAACCACAGGGAUGUUCUUACAACCUUUCCAAUUAUUGAGCCUCAAAGAACUGGAAAAUGGGGAGCAGUACAGUAGCAGUUAGAUCUACUUCAAGCUCCAGGUCAGUAGCAUGCUUAAGCACAUGCUUAACUUCAAGCAUAUGAUUAAUCACAUCCCUGGUCCACGGUGUAAUUAAAUGUGUGCUUAAGUGCUUUGUACAGCACAGUACCAGCCUGCAGGCGUACUCUGCAUACUGGUGUGCCUGAGAAAGUGGUGAAUCAGAAAGUGAUUUUUGGCUGGAGUUUGGAAACCAGCUUGAGAGAGCUGGUUAGGCACCCAGGUCUCAUAUUUGAAUAGCUAUGGAAAAGCUAGUCUUGUUGGCAGAACAGUGUGAGUAGCAAGGUGUGGCCAUUUAUUUUAUGGUAAUUCCCUAGUUUUGUUUAAAAUGAAGUUAUUUAAAAAUCCCUUUCUCUUAGCAAUUUCCUGCUGUUCUCCUGUAACGCUUUGCUUUCCUUAAUACCAGCCAGACUUGAUUCUGCUCCAACAAAGCCAAGCUUGCCUGGCUGCUUCUCUCCUAACUUACUGGUCAGAGUGCAGGUAGAUUCCGAAUUGGAGGCAGUGCUGGUGGGUUGAUGACCACAGCACACCUCUGCCUCUCCUGUAGAUGAUCAGUCCAGGUGCAGAUCUGCAGUGAUGCCCUCAGCUGGGACCCAGCAGGUAUGUGUGCAGUGCUGCAAUGAGACGCCUGCGCUGCUGUGCUGCGUGGCUGUACCCGUGGGCCACUGCAAAGCUGAUGGCCGUGUGCUUGGUGUGGUCCUGGGCAGAGCUUUGGCCUGGGACUUUUCCAGCCAGCCCUGGAUAUGAUGUGAAAGUCUGUGUGGGCCAGGGACCAUUACUAACAGGCUGUUUGGAUGCGGCUGCCCUGUGUUGGUGGCUAGGUGAUUGCAGACUGGCUGGUCCCUGCACUGUUUAAUUUACUAGCAGUCAUGUAGCCUCUUUUAGCCAGAGCUCCUCCCCUGGAGUUUUUUCCUAGCAUUCUCCCUUCCCGUCCCUUUCCUUGUGCCAACCACUUUAAUGCAUUCGCCUUCACACCAGCAGCUCCUUCCCCGUUGCUCUGGGAUUGUUUUGCCAACAUGUUUGUUUGACCACACCAUUUGACCAGGCAUUGCUGUCAUCCUCUUCUGUGCCAGGCUGAGCUGGAUAAUGGUCUUUUGCUGCUUGGGAUGGGUAUAAUAUGGAGCUUCUAGAAGACAUUUUGAUGACUAAUUGUUCUAUUUUAUAUACUUAAAGUCAGGUGCCAUAAUUUCCUUCUUCUGGGAGGUCUCUGCAUAUAAAUGCUAGGGAGGUCACGGUAAUGAGGAAAGUCGACGCAGUAUUAAAUGCUGCUAUCUGAACUAUUGGCCCCUCCAUUGCUGAAAGGUGGGAGGGUAGUUUUCCAAGCAGGCUCCAUGGAAACUCUGUGUAAUGUGUUUGAUUAUCCAACGUUGUCAUUUUCAAAGGGACCAGUCAAGAUUAACAGGGCCUAAAUGUACCAUCCCCUAAAAAUAACUCUGGCUUCCCAGCUCUUGCUGAUGGUGGCAGAGGUGUAAGAGCUGAGAAAUGAUGCUCCAAACAAAAGAAUUCAAAGGAAAUGAAUUGUAAAAUGCCCAUGGCCAAAACCACCCCUUGUCAGCCCUGGGAGAUGGGUGCUCCUCCACCAGUGCACGGCUGUGUGUUCGUUUGAGUGUCUCAGCACAAUGAGGACAGAGAGCCUGAUGUUCUGCUUGGAAGCCGGGCUGCCACUGAGGACAGCAGCAGUCAGUAUGUCUUCUGAUAACUGGCAAAGUGAGAAGCUUCCUGAAUUUAACCAAUGUGUGUAAUUUUGUUUCCUUUCGGGUGAGAGAAGCAAUGAACCCAGCUGGCGUGGUGACUUCUAGAGCACGCUUGGGCUUGCACAAAGGACAGCCCGAUCAGAGUGAGACUGUGGUGGCAGGACCCAAAGCUAAUUAUGCCCUAUUAGUAACUCAUUUGUGGCUGAAGGGAUUUCCCAAAUGCCAGGCACAGUUGUGCUGUGCCAGUCUCUCUUGGGGCAGGUCUUGUUUGGCAUAGAUCAGACCACAUUCAGGCAUGCAUUCGUUGUCUUGCGCUGCAGUUAAUAUUUUCUUGGGGACCUCUGCUAAUUUUCAAGAUGAUGAUCAGCCCAGUGUUGGUUUUGAAAGAAAAAUCUGAGAAAUGCUUCUUUUCAGAGAGUAAAUCCCAUAAAUAACUGGAUUCUGGAAGCCUGCUUUGCCAGUAUUUCUCCACAGCAGCUCAUUACUUUCAGGGCCCUGCUGGCAUCGGCUGCUUUCUCGGUGCUGCAUCCUCUGGCUCGCCCACCUGGAAACAGCCCCACUUCUGGAGAGCAGGGUGCACACGGGGUCCCUGAAGCACUGUGCACACUCAGCAGCUCUGAAGGCAGCUCUUUGUCUCCAGCAGGCUACCUGGAGUCAGCUCUGCGGCCAGCUGAAACCAGAGGCUGAGGCUGUUGGCUGGGCAGAGCAGGAUGGCAGCAGGCAGCCGCUGUCACAAGGGCCAGAGCCUCUGCUGUGAGCGGGUGUUACUCAUUUGGUAAUACCAGUCUAUUCCAGAUGAGGAUCUGCCCCUUUGUUUUGUGUAUAGCACAAUUUGUUUUCAAUUUUUGUUUCUGAAAUGAAACUGUCAAGAUGAAAUUCACACUGAAAAAAUUGAGGGAAACGGCCCUUUGUGCGUUUCUAACAAUCCUCUUCAAUGACUAAAGCUGGAGGAAUUUUAGAAACUGCAUUCGCUUCCUACCUUUGGUUUCUUUCUGUGCUGUUCUCGUGCUUUAUGAAUUUCAAAUCUAACAGGCCAAAAAGCCGUCAGUCCCAAAUCCUCCCCCUGACCUCACUGUAACCCAGGGACUCGUGCUCUGAUGCUGAAGUCUGGCCGUGCUCCUGUGGCAGCAGGAGCAGCACGUCCCUGUGUGGCACACGGAGCCGUGUGCUGCUUUUCCAGCUCAAGAAGGAACACGUAAACCCUCCACAAAGGGGGGUUCCCCAGGGCGGGACACAUCCAUCCUGCAGGAGUCUGCCAGCUACCCAGUGCAAGUAAAACAAAAUCAGGGUGAGAGAGCCUAACCGGGCUGAAAUCUGCGGUGAGUCCACCUGCCUGCUGUGCUCUGCCCUGGUGAGCUCCAUCUGCUUGUGCUGCUGGGGAGGUUCCCUGCAGGGUCUCACCGGGUUGUCUUCUGAGUCAGCGCAACAGCAGUGCUGCGGGGACCUGGUCCUUACCUGGGGUUCCUUCCAACUACAGAGAGCUGUUUGUUGUCAUUCCAAGAGGAAAAAAGAAAAAGAACCUUUUGAAAAUAAUAACGGCAUGCAUCUCAUUUUAAUUUUAGUCGUAGAAACUACUUGGUGCUCAUGGCAAAGGAAUUGAUUCCUUAAACGAAUGAAGCAGCAGCGCUGCUUGCAGUGUGGGGCUGCUGACACUCUGACUCAUGCUUUGCAUCUCACAGGAUCUGGCUUUUAUGCUUCAUUUAGGACACCAACGUCAUCAGCAUUCAGGGGGCUCCUCCUUUUUUUUUUUAUUAAGAUACUGCUGUUACAUUUUUAUUUUUUUAAAGAUGCAAAUAAUGUUUGGAUCAGAAUCACAGCUCAUGUUUUAUUACCAAAUCAGGGCAUAAUGGUUGCUUUCAUUUAACUUCCCAGCGUUAGAAGAAAUUCUAAAUGAAAAUUAGGUGUGGCUUCGUACAGCAAUGAGAGGGGCUGAGGCAUUUGCUGUGUGCCAGGCUGGCUGCUGCCAUGGAGCAUCAUUCGCUGGUGAGACAGGUGAGGAUAUUCAUCUUGUGCUGCACGUGGCCGGGACCUUGGGCUGCCCGAACCUCAGCAUUCCCAUUGCAUGCAGAACAGCUGCGCCGGCCCCGUCCGUGUCCCUGGAGAUGGCAUGUUUGAACGGCAGCAACUCCAAACACGGCGCAGCUCUGCAGCUCAGCCCCAUUGUUCUGAGGCUGGAUGUAACACAGCGCAAGUGAGCCCUGCAGAGCGCCUGGGCCUGCCCUGGACAGGGGCACCCCAGCUGUGUGAGAUGGCUGCUCGUAGCACACUUUGUGGGUUAUGGAGACAGUGUCGUGUUUGUCCUAACCUGUAACUGCUGGGAAUGGGUCCUUCGUUGAGGGGCAGGGCAUUUUUAAUGCAAGAGGGGGAGAAAAAAAAUAGCGCUGCGAGUCCUCAGUGGUUCCCUGCUCUGCUCCAAAGGCCCCGGGAGCCCCGGAGCAGCUCCCAGAGCUCUGUCCUCAAGGGCAGAGUGCUUGCCCAGCCCACGGGGCUUCCCACAGCAUGCAUGGGGCUGGUGUGCCCAUCCAGCACCCCACAGUGAGCUCAGGGAAACAGCAGGGCAGGAGCACCCAUGGGAAUCUGCCUAUGGAUUUUGUUGAGUCCACUGCCAUCAACAUUCAAAUUACCAAGGAGUUAAAAGAAAAGUGCUGCUCCUUGCCCUAUGAACAUGCUGGGUUGGGCUGGGAAUUCCAAGAGGAUUUGUAAAUGAGGUUGAAAAUUCCCAGCCAACCACUUGGCACCUUUUUAGUAGGAAAAAUAUAGCUCUUAAAAAUCUCAUAAACUGAAAGUGGUUGAGAAAUCAGUGGCAAUUACCUAAUUGAACCCUCAGCUUUAUUAAUAAAUCAAGAACAACUGCUCGUGCAGCUGGGCGGGCGCUGUGACCCCCUCCCACCGCCGCGGGGCUGCGUCACAGUGCACACACAGCAGGUGCUCACCGGCGCUGGGAUCCCUGUGUUUAAUGGGCAAAGUGCGGUGCACUGAGUGCUGGCAGGACAGGCCAUUGCUUCAUUUUGCCCUGGUGAUUUGGGGGGCAUUUGAGGGUUGCUUACGGUGAGGUGUGCUUUGCCUGAUGGCAUUUCUGCCGAGUGACAGACGAGCCAUCUGGCGUUACGCUGAAGUGCAGCGCAGCGUUUGCUUAGGAGGGAGCCUGCAGCGAUGACAAAGCAGUUCUGCACCUCCACUGCCUGUGUCACGGCCGGUCAGCACGGCUGGGCUGCUGCUGGCAGAUCAGCAAAGCCAGCAUGAGGUGGCAGAGCCGUGCUGGAGCGAAAGGAGCCCAUCAGACCUCUGCCCUCCUAGGGACGUGGAGGGGACUGAGCGGCAGCAAGAAAAAUGAGGGACUUUCAGGGGCAGCUGUGUUUUACUAACCCAGUCAUAAUGCCCCUAAAAAUCCUUAUUGUUCUUGCAAUGGUCAACUGUGACCUCCGGCACAGGGAGGCCUGGAAGGUAAGCACGAGUGCUGGGCGCAGGGCGAGCACGGUAGGGCAGGUCUGCCUUUGGGAAGGCUUGCUUGCAAGCUGGAGUGGUGUUACAGGCUGGGGGAGGAGUUUCUGUCAGAGUGGAUUGGAAAAGAUUCACUGUUAAUUGUGGUAUGGAGAGUGCACUGUUGCAUGAAUCUCAGGGCAUGAGAACUGGAAGGCAAAGUGAGAGAAAUGAAAGAAACCAAGCACUUUCCCUCCCUCUUGUAUCUGUCUCUCAUUUCUGGCUAUCACAUCAAAAUGCAGCCAGAGACGUUCUCAAACCAACCCUGGAGACACGACCCCUGACCGCAGCACUCCAGCAGGAGCGUGGCUGGUUAAGAGCAAGGUGUUGGGGAGCAGGGGGGGUGCACCCCGAGCCACCGGUCCUUUACUUAGCAUUAGAAAUUACUCCACUGGUUGCAGGACAGUCACGGGAUGUGGGAAGGUGGCCGUGCAGCAUCACCAGCGUGCUGGGCAGCAGGGAGCACCGACUGCCCCCCUGGGCAGCUCCUGCCUGUCACUGCGCCCCUGUCCUGCACAGCUGUGUGCCUGCCGACAGAAGGGCUCCAUCCUGCAAUGCUCCUGCUCAUGUCCUUUCCUCUAACAUCCCAGGGCUGCGCUGCCAUAAAUGCUUUCAGUCAGAAGUAUUUAAAAAGCUUGUUUUCUCAGAUUCCAGGACAGUGAUGUGUGCUAGCUUCUUACAUUAUUGCAUCUGCAUUUCUUCCUUUUUUUUUUUUUUUCUUUUCUCUCUCAGUAUUCAAUUUUCAUGUUUGGGAAAGCGUUGGUGGUUUUAGACUUAAUGCCUUUCAUUACGCUGGGAACUGCCCUCUCCUUGCUAACUCCCUGCUUUCCUCCUCUUCCUGCUGAACUGCUCUCAGUCGUCGCAGCUCUCUGCUCAUCCCCAUCGCCUCAUUCUGAGCUCCAUUCCUGCUUAGGGCAGACGGAGAUGCAGUAAUUGCACAAAGAGAAGCAAUUUGUUAAACAGAACUGUAAUAUUCAAUUAUCCUCCAUCAUGCAUUCUAACACCUUGUUUGCAUUUCUGAGAGCUUGUAUGUGUUGCGUUUUUAUUUUCACUGAACCCUACAACAGUGUUCAAAGCUUUUCCCCCUUUAAUAACUCUACCAAGGGAGAUGGAUAACCAAAUUAAGCUGGCUCCACAACAGUAACUGUCCUUUUCCCAGCGUCUGGUUGCUUUAGUCAUUACCUUUUUGAAAGGGCUUUGUGUACCAAUUAAUUGGUAUGUUUAUCAAUGAAUUCUGCUUCACGUGGCUGUGCCAACAGAUUAGAAAUGCAUGCCUAUUUUUCUUUUUUUCCCUUCUCUCUCCCCGGACUGCACAGACUUGCCUUUGCACAUCACUUACCUAUUUUUAAUUGGGCUACGUGGCUCUGGAGCAAGCAUUACUCAUUUGUUAUUUGUCAUUCUCAGGAACAUUUCAACUGCUUCUGUUAGAGCUGAAUUCUAUGUAAAGGAGAAGUGACUAGAAACCCCAGACUGGGUCCCAGGUCUUGCUUAACUUUGUAAUGCACGCUGACUUGCUGACGCGACUCCAGUUAAGGUAUGGUAUGAAUCAGGAGCUCCAACAGCCGCUGCGGAAUGAGCGCGUUCACAUGAAGUCAUCCUGCAGCAGCUAUUGCAGAAUAGUCAACUGCUCUGUGUAAGCAAGCCCUAAAAGCCAAUCCUGGUCCCAGCGGCUGUGUGACUAGGUAAGGGAGGUAAAGGGCACAAGAAAGGCACCCUUCUGUCAGCUAUGGAUGGGCUGGGAGCAAAGAAACCCGUGCUGCUCAGGGCUGCCUUGCAGGCCGCUGCUUUUGGAGUGGUUUGGUUCAGGACUUUCUGCUUUGAUGCCUUUGAUUUCUGAGACUGGCCCUGCGUACGAAGCCGCAGACUGUUUCCUCAUUUAGCCAGUGCAGUGUCUUCACCUGAUACCGAAACAAGAUGGAAGGAAUUGAAUGUUUCCCCCGGUGUGGCUGGAAUUGAUCUGCUUUUAACCCAGUAUCUACCGAUGGAAUAAACAGAAGCAGCUCCACUACUACCAGGAUGGAGAACAACCACCGACUCUUAGUACCGGAAACAGGAAGAUCCAGAAGGGGUUUUUGUUCCUACGUUACAAUUUUUAUCUUUAGUAUUCACAUCUUACUCAAAGUAAGAAUAUUUAUAUGCUAAAAUAAACCCCUUUUUGCUUUGUGAUACUGGAUUGAGCCUGCCCACCUUCUUCCUAUCACAGCUCUGACCCGUGGAGAGAGCCAAGUGGUGGAUGUGGAGGUCAGAAGGGGCCCUCCGAAUGCAGGGGAUGCACACAGAGCAAUCCUGCAGCCCGUCCUGAAGCCGGUGCAUGGAUGAGCGGAUCUUUCUCUCAUGUGCUAUGGGAACUCUGCCUAUAUAAAUGUCUGACAAACUCUACCAGUGCUUUAUAACCUUGUGUCUUCUACCUUCUGGUAAGCCACAAUUUCCUGCUUAUGCAUCUCUGUGGAAGAAGCCCUUCAUAUAUGUGACUGCAUGUGGUGAAUAGGAGAGCAAGAAGAGUUGGUGUUAUUUUUAUCCUAUCUGUUCACAAAACAGCUCUCCCAGUCACACACCCCUCCAAUAGCCUCGGAGUGGAGGGCAGGUGCAGAGCCCUGUGGGGACACUUGGUACUUGGCCAGGGGCUGGCAGGCAGGAGGGCUCCUGCAUGCCCUGCAGGUGGGAUUCCUGCUCCAUUUCACUGCAGGGCAUUCUGGGCAGACCUGUGAGUCCAAUUCUGUGUGCCCAGGCCAAAGCAUUACGAUUUCAAGGACAAAUUUGGCUGUUCCUUUUGAAACUUCACUGUCAUUUAGCACCUCCAUUCUGGCUUGGAAAAAUGCAGAAAUUCCUAUAAUAAAUGUGUUUUGAAAAGUAUACACAGGCAAUCAUGAUUUUUUCAGUCAGUCUCAAGUGAUGCCAUCCACUUCUACUCUGCUUAAGUGCUGCCCUGGACUUCUUGAAGUUGCCAUCCCUGGCAUAUGCUAAGUAAGUAGUACGAACAUUUCAAUAGACCUUGCCAAAACAAAGCAUCCCCUUCUGGCAUGCAGAUAAUUCUGCAUGGAUAGCAGAAGAUGUACUAAGCUUGAGCCACUGUUCAUAUUUCUUUGCACAUCAAAGCAAUUGCACCAGCAUCUUUCAAGCACCCAUGUUCCAGGCUGCAAGGAGUCUCUGGCUGCACAGGGCCUUUCUGAAUUGCCCUGUGAUGUUAUCGACUGCUUUCAGUGCACAACAUCUGCCUGGAAUAAUUUAAUGUGGUGCUUUCAGUCAAAUAGAAAUUGCAUGUCAGCCACAUGAUCUGAAUUAGACCAGUGCAGGAAAUAACAUUUUGCAGGCAAAUUUGGUGCCUUCUUUCACUGGAGCCCUUUGGUACUUGGCUGUAGUUUUCGAUGAAUAGCUGUUUCAUGGAGGAAAUAUGGUAAUUAAGGCAAACUUUCUUCAUGUUUUAAACUACUUUCAGCAAAACUAGAAAUCCAAGCUGCCAAGCAACCUUUAGUUUUAGCAGAUUACUGCUGGUCUGUGUCUUUUUAAUUAGGCCAGAGUCGAUCAAGUUUAAUUAAGAGAAUUGGUGGGACAACCAGGACAGCCUUCCCAAGAGCAGGACUCUGUUCUGGGGCCCAGUUGGUACUGGUUGAGAUUUGGUUCUCUAUAAAGACAAAGAAAACAAAAUAAAACCUCAGCAAAAUGAAUAGAUGUCAUGAGUCUCAAGCACACAGACAAAGGACAGGGUUUGACCAUCAGUCUGUAGGCAGAAGGGCUGUCACAGACAGCCAGUCACAAUAUAUUCUGAUCUUUUGGUCAGCACAGAUGCUACCUGCAGUACCAAGCUUUGGCUCUGUGGCGAAUGAGAAGCAAAUCUACGGAUUCUAGUGCUUGUACUUCCAGGCUGUUAUGGCUUGCUCUUAAAUGGGGAAAGGAAGCCAAAGGAAAUCAUGUGCAUUGGAGUCAAAUACCAUUUUUAGGAGUGGGAACUGCAUGAGUAUUUCACCAGUGAUUAAAAUAGCCAGGGACCAGGGCACACUAAUGAUUAAUGAUCUCUUUCUGCAAGCUGAGGACAUGUCCUACAGAAUCUGGCCCUCCUGAGAGAUAGUCAUGAAGUACAGUUUGGCGGAGCGUAUUUUAAAGGCAUGAGCAAAAAUUGGUAGGUUAAUUGUUGUUUUUUAUGUUGUGGAUCUGCUGUGUCAUUUGGCUUGAAUUACUGGCCCCUAUUUCGGAAGCAUGCAGUACAUGGAAGUAGCCCUUACCAACCUGGUGCAGCCACACCACUGUCCCACUCCCAGCACAGGCAGGAGUGCGGGCUGAGAAGUUACACUAAGCUCACUGCUGCAGGUGGAACAAGGCCAUCUACACAAUUAUUCUAAAGCCCCUUUUUUUUUGACUUACCUCGUUUGCCUUCUGUGAAGGCGGCUCUCCUUAGCAGGACCCCCAGCACUCCUGAGGUCACAUCCUGCAUGCUGCAUUACAGGGAAUUCGGAGGCCUGGACUGCACCUUGUCCCCAUGGCAGCUCAGAGCACAGCCCCACUCGGGAGGCCCCACCAGCCAUCCUCCAUCCCUUCACUGCAUGGCAAAGAUUACUGCUGCAGGAAGGAGGCCAAGCAAGAAGCUGUGUGAUCCCUAUCAACGCACCUGCCCUCUUCCAGCAUCACACAGACACCACUGAUUUGUCCAUUAGAGAUGUCAUUUUUCCUGCACAGAAACAGCAGUACAAGGCGUUACUACAAUCAAACUUCAGUUUCAAGUGAGGAACUUCUGGGAGUUCCUCUUCUUUUUUUUUUUUUUUUUUUUUCCAGCUGCAGGGAAGGGUGAAAACUAUCAGCUAUAAAAAUAUUACAGUUUAUGCUGUUAAAUAAAUCAUAAUUUGUCAACAGGUAGCUGAAUUAUGGCCAAUUCCACUGAGAGCCAAAACUGAUCUUCUUUCCCAGUGCUAUUGUAUAGUAACAGCUGGCAGAACACUGUCAAGCAAAGCUGUGCUGUGCUAAGCUGAUAAAUAAACCAGUGAGCCUCAGUGUAGGAGCCACAUCAUCUCAUGGAGAGACUGCAGCUCAUGCUGGAAUGUGUUGCACAAAUGCUUGUUAACAGUCUACACACAGGCAGAGAGUUGCUUUAUGAAAAGGUGUUAGAAAAAUGUGAUUUGAAUAAGACACAGCAUUCCUAGGGUUAUCAAAAGAACCAGCCAGGUUUCAGGUCUCAGAGUACUAAAGCACAGCAGCAAGCCAGCCAAUGUUAGCAUUUCUUGUUCAUUCAAAUGGAGAGUCUGGUAACCGGAUUCUGGAUGAGUGGAAAGUCCCAAUAAGUUCUAAGAUACAGCAAGGCAAGCCAGAAAACCAACAGAGCAAAAUCUGUUUCUAUUUGUUUCACAGCUCCCAAAUUCUGCUGGAGAGUUUUGCACUCUUCAGUUGUUUCUGAGGCAGAAGGAGACCUCCUCUGAUUGCAGAUGCUGUGUUGCUUUAAGCCAAUCAGACUACACUGUCCCGGGUGGGAGAAGGAAGGGUAACAAGUGCCAGUGCCCCAUCAGGAGAUACAGCUUCAUGCUGGAGCUCAGAGCCUCGUGCAGCCGGCAGAUAACGCUGUGUGUUUUAUACUUAACACCACUCUGGUUUUGUCCUUGCUUUGCAGGCAUUUUAUUUUUAUCGUGGGUAAGAACAGGAAUGUGUGCAUUUCUGUGAAAGGCCGAGCACAGGGCUGCAAGCUCCAUCUCAGUGCAAAUAAUACUUUGGCAGGAAACCUGCAGGAGAUUAAAUUAGGGACCUAAAGACUGAAUAUUAAAGCAUUUCCAACUUUUGAGUUCUUUUAAAUAAGCAGCUACAAAACAAAGCAGUCUGACAAAAUUAGCAGGACCAAAGUGCUAAAGGAACCCACUAAGGGUCAUUUAUUUGUUGAUGCAGAUUUAAGAGAACUUUUUAAGUUAUUUGUAUUAGUAGCUGUGUAUGUCAACAUGCUAUUUCCUCAAUGCAUUUUGAGUCCAGAUUAGCUAAAGUUUUAGGUGUUGGCAGACUUGCUACAAUAGAAGGGAAAUGCCACUGGAAUAACUUUAAACAUGAUCCAAUCCCUGAUGAUUCAUUGGAUGUGUUAAAAUUUCCUUUGAGACCAUGUAAGUAAUGCAGGGACUGGAGUGCAGAGUGCCUGUGACUCAGCUCUCUGCGAGGCAAAGGGAGGAUGUCAGAAUUGCUCACUGGGACUGGAGGAAUCUCAUUUAUCUAUUUAUAGGCAAGGCUGAGAUGAGCUCGUGCCAUUGAAGAGCUGAAUUUGCCAGUUCUCUUGGGGGGAGGAAAAGGGAAGGCCCUCCCGUUAGCUGGUGGGGCUGCUUCCAAACCCAAGGACUCUGGCCAGCUGCAUUUUCUUGCCCUCGGAUGAGCAGCAUGGGGCACCUGGUGCAGACCUGUGGGAGAGCAGAGCAGCCCAGCCCCCAGCACCAGCUGCUGCUCAGCCCCUGCUCCAGAGGGGCUGCAGGACCAGCAGGUCCCGUGCCCUGAGGUCAGGGGGCUCUUCCCACUGCAGGGGCAUCACUGCAGCACGCGUGUAUGUCAGCCAGCUUCAUUUAAGAGGUGCCGGUUAGAGGCUGCUUUGCCAAAAGCCUUUUUACUGCUUCUCUUCAAAGAGGUACAGCAGUAUUCCCCGUGAGUGGGCAUUCUGCCUAACAGGGCAUCAGAAAAGGAAAGCUCCAGGGGACAGAGCGGGGAGCCGAGCACACUGCCUGCUUCCAGCCUCUGCACAGCCUGCGAGCCACUGGCAGUGCUGGGACAGCCAUUCCUGAAGGUGUGCUUUCAGCCAUGUAUAUUUAGGUUUGGGAGGUGAAAGACGGUCACACUGUGGGUAAAAAGCAAGAGCUCAAACCCACAGCGAAAUGUUUUAGUGACACUGCUUUUCUGGUACAGCUGGCACUUAGCUGUACAGCAGCACACACUGCGGCCUGGUCUUCUUAUUAAGAAAGAAACCACUCCAUAUAGGCACCACACACCGCACUGCUCCAUCACUGGGAACACCUUUGUGGUGUUGGUCCGGGCUGUUCUUUCCAUUCCCUGCAUUUAGCUGCUGUGGCUAAUUCCCUUCCCAAAAAAGAAGUUAUCUAGGAACACAGGGCUCUGGAUUACUGAUCCAGCCUCCUACUGUUACAUUCAAUUACAUCAUAUCGUGCUUUUUGGCAGGUUGUCCCAGCACUUCAUUUAAAAUUUUCAGCCUUAAUAUCAUUUGUUCUUGUGCCAGCAUCAUAAUGUAGUUUAAACAAUUCUCUUUUUUCUCUGAUCUUUACCUAUCAGAUAUAUUUACUGAAAACAAUCCUAUCUCCUCUAGCCUUUGUUUUGAAAAACUAAACAAAUGAAACUCUUCUAGUCUCCUCUUGUUCCAAACCCUCUGAUCAUCCUCAAUGCCCUUCUCUGUACCUGCUAAUCUUCCUCGAACAUGAGUGAACCUGUACCUUCUAGGAUUGUGUUUGCCUCUCCAUAUCAGAUUGGUGGCUCACAGUCAUCCCUGGGAGCGAAUUAUUCUCUGUGGUUUUUUUUCCACCCCCCUGCCUUUGUCAUCUUCAAGUGAGUAAUAUGAUAUUCUAGUUAUUAAUUUCUAAAUGCAUGUCUUAAUACUUUCUCUAUUCUAUUUCAGAUGAAUUCUGUCAUUCACUCAUUGCUGAUUGAUGUUCCGAUCAUCCUCUGUAUUAACAAAGCCCGUGUCCUCAGCAGAUUUCUUUACUACAUUCCUACUGCUGUGCCAGACUCGUUAAUGAAAGAAGCAAGAGUGAGCUCAACACUGACUCCUGAGGAGUUCCACUUACUGACUGCCUCUGUCUGGCAUUUCUUCUCUGCUCAGAGCUCCCCUUUCCUCUGCACUUUAACAGCUCUCUGGGACUACUAGAGCAAGAACAUGGCUUCUUAUGCAGUAUAGAAAAGCUUAUGAGGAGCAGCAGGUGAUUGAUGCCUCCUGAGGUCAGUGCCAGCUGCACUUAACUGCUGCUCAAGGCCAGUGUUAAGGCAAACAAAAGCACUUAGGCCACCAGCAGCGUAUGCUCACCUGUUUGACUUUGCAGAGAAGUAAUCACAGAGCCAGUGCCAGCUUUGUGCCUGUCGUCUCCCAGCUGAGAGCUGUGACUGUGUGUGGCCUGAUGCAGCUGCAGAAGGGCUGUCUGAGGGCUCACAAAGCUGAAGUCCGAGGCACAAAGUUCAAGUCCAAGGUCCUGUAUUGACAGUGUGUGUGGUCAAGACCUGCGUUCCUGUUGAAAGAAGGAGAGAAGGAAAGCUGGACUGCAUCAUGAGCUCUUUGUACUGGCUCUGCAAGAGCAAUUGUGCUCACUGGCAAUAUCUAUGUCUUGGACCACCCAGCAGCAUCCAGCAGCCCGGGUCAGGUAGGUGUGCUCCAUUUGUUUAGCACCAUGACUGAGUUGGGCACCUGAGGACAAAGUUAUUAAAGCAGUCUGCUCUCAAGACCUAUGUGACAGCAACUGCAUCACUGUCUGCUUUCACUGAAGUCAAUGGGACUCUGGCCACAGGCCUGAUUCCUCUCUCUCACACAUCAAUAGAUUAUCUUUCAAGUCCAUUGGCUUCUAUGAAAUUAGAGCUGUCAAGCCCUGGAUGUACACUAUGGCAUGGUUCAGCCAAAAGAAAUGGGGGACAUGAUGGAAAUUGAAACCUCUGGAAAGACUUGGCCUAUCUUGUAUGCUUAGCAAGUCAGUAGAAUAUUAAUGCUGCAUCCAUCACUCAGAGUACGUGCUUCUGGAUGCUUGGCUGACUUUGGUAAGGGGCACUUUGAGAAGGAUAAAACUGCAUUUUCAUUGCUGAGAACCUUCCUACAGCACACAAUGUUGCCCAUGGGAUGCUGACAACCUACUGGUGUUGUCUUCAGAGACUACAUAGGGGCUAACACUGCUAAACUGUAUAAACAAGUGCUUACCCCUGAAUAUCACGUUAGUCCAAACAGGAUUUAUAAACACAGAGAUGGUCAGAGGUGGGCUGUCCUCCAAUCAGUCUGUGAAUCUAGAAAGAAAGAAAGAAAAAAGAUGACUUUGUAUUCUUUCAAUUACAUACGUUUCAUACAUAAUUAAAGUAAUCACAAAAACACAUGCAUUGUAUCAGUAAUUGGCAAAUUAAGAAUUCGGUCACGGUUGUUCAGGAACUUACAGACUCCGUGCAAUACCAAUAAUAAUUAUUUAUAACCUACUAUGUAAGGAAAUUAGUCCAGGAAAACCGACUGAUUAUAACGUAGCACAGUCACCCCAAGGGAGAAGUUGAGUGCAGUGUGCAAGGAGCAAGACAUCACACCAUUUUCUUGUCUCGUAUUAUAAACUUUACUGCAAGUAGCAUUCUGGUACUGAAUGUCUCGGUUCCCCUGUAACAAAUACCUAUUGUAUUCCUGCUGAAUUUCAUUGAAUUUACUCCUGAGUUAUACUUAAGGUCUGAGGCAGAUCCACAUUGCUGCUUUCUGUAUAAAUCCCUGAGCUGCUUAUUCACGAGGAUGUGCAGCUUCGCAAAAGAAUGAGUUGAGAGAAUGAGCUGGGUGGCAGACUGUUAGUUCUGAUGGUAUUACCAUAGCAUCCGGAGAAGCUAAAUGCAGUGCUAACUCAAGGUACAAGAAAGCUUCAGCCCUUGAAAAGAGCUGACAAAGACGAUGCACAGAAAGUGGGAGGAAGCAAAGAGGCACAGAGAAGAGAAGCGGCUGUGCAGUGUCACACAGCAGGCAACCUGGGGGGGCAGGAGCACGGCCCCGUCUCUUAGCACUUUCCGGCUUCACACUGCCUUUUGGUCCUUUCUGCAUGUGGACCUCAUGCAUCUUCAAUUGAAAGCACAACCCAAAAAUAGAAGAUCUUUUUUUGUCAAGAGAACUCGUGCUCUGCGAGUUGUGAAAACAGAUUAUUUCCCAUGAUUAAUACCUGCCUCCUCUCUGAAGACAUCCAUCUCUGCGUGGAUCGGAUUCUAGUAAAGCAAAGCUCACCUCUUAGGAAAGAAAGCUUUCCGUUUUCUUUCUGCUAACAUUUCUCCUCACCAUUGUCCCUGCAAUCCUUUUAUGAUGCAGGCCCAACAUAACUCACAGUACUUCCCAUUAUUGUGUGCCACGAGUGUGAGCAGAGCCCUUGUUGUGGUAGAUAGCAGCCUUCAGACACCCCAUGUUUCCUGUUCAACUGGAGCCAAUCGCACACUGCUUGGUACUGAAACUAAGUCCCUAAUUAAUUUAUACACAAGGAGGCCAUUGUAACGAUAACGUAAUGGAGAUCAGUCCAUUAGCAAAAAGUGUGGAUAAAUUAUUUUCUUUUAAUGCUUCCAUCAACGUUAAGACCCAUUAAUCAUAUUUUAAGAAAACAACUUUAAACUUACACGCUAUUUGUAGGCAUUUCUGAUGGGACACCCAGCCAGCCCUGCUGUUCAGCAAGGAAAUCUCUGCCAUUCACUGAGCAGAACUGGAUCUUUACCACACAGAAGAUGGCACAACUGGUCCGACUCCACUGAUAUUCUCUUUAUAACGUGAGAAAGUAGCAGUUUUAACAAAAAGGAAAUCAAGAUUAAAUGCAACAUAUUCUGAAGGAGGAAAAAAUUCCUAGCAGCAGCUGAAAGGGAAGUGGAAUUCAUCAAUGCCUCUUUCAUCUUUAUCAAAUUACUAUUCAGUGCAGUUACAUUUAUUAAUAACAACAGCCCUUAAACCACAUUGUGAAAACCCAUUAGCAAGAAAUGCUUUAAAAUCUACAACAGGCUGAAACAGAAGGUUUAUCAAAGGCUGAAACAAUUCAACAGUAUAAGCAGAGUGGGCAUUUUUAUGGGCUGCUGAGCGUGCCAGAGCAUCACUGUGACAUAUUCACAAGUGGGCUGUUUGUGCUGUGUAACUAAAACUUGCUCUUGAAUUCAGUAACCCACAUAACCAAGAGGUAAUGCAAACUCAUGCUGUGCUUUGGAUUUUUUCCCCUCACUCCAUACAUACCUAUUGCUGCUGGCAGUUGCAGAGCUGUCAGUGCAGCACGGAGCGGGCAGUCCCACAGCUCUCACUGCUCACAGAGGGGAUGCACAGUGACUUCCCCAUAACAAACCCUGAUGAGAAGAACCUUUGGAGAGGUCAUAACUAUUCCCAUGAGAGUCAGGACCAGCCUGGAGCCGACCACCGUAUCACUCUUUAAUUUUUCAACACAGUUUACCCUGGAAGUUUACAUAUUCCCUUCUCAUUCCCUUACUUGGUUUUUUAAGAGCAGGCAGUUUGAAUGUCAAUCACUGCUGAGCAAUCUCUGAGAGGGUAUGAGAUACGAAGGUGAAAUCCAGAGGAGGGAUUCUGUCAUCAUCCUCACAGCAGAAGCUGCCAGUCAUCCCCAUUGUGCACAUCCUGCACCACUGGAGAUGUGUACACAUCCCAGGGGGGCUGUUACAGAAGGGCCGCUGCCUUGCCCUGCUCUCAGUCGCUUCCAGUUUGCAGCAGAGAACAAUAAUGGCACAGACAGCGCAGCAUUGCUGUGUGCUCAUUCCGCAGCAGUGACUGUAUCUGUCACAGCCUCCUGCUGCAUCAGGGCAACGAUGUUUCUGAAGGCAUUUUCUUUGUUGCUGAACAAGGCAAAGCCUGAGUCGGGGAAUACAGGAGAGGCGAAGGGACAGAGCGAGGGAUGCGACUGCAGCUGGGUACAAGUGGACAGCAGUGCUUGCAGAUCAGCCCAUGCACAUUCUCCUUCCAGAUCUGAUAAUUCCCUGAUUCUGUAAAAACACACCCAAGGCAGGGCUCACGAGGUGCCUGAGGCAGAUAUGCAGACUGCAGCUAAAUGCAUCCCACUUCUCUGGAGGGAAAAGUCCCUUCACACCCAUAAGCUGUACACGUAUCUCACCCCAGCAGGAUGGGCAGACUGUGCCACCUCCAACCACUCUCCGGCUCCAUCCGUCCCCACAGUGUGUUCUACUUAGGAGAGCAAAAGGGUGGCAGAACAAAUCCGUGGCAGGAUGUAUCUUCUGUAAUCGCACACAACUCAGCUUGUUAAAUUGACUGGUUUCUGUCCCAGCUGAGGUUGUAACUCCAUGAUUACUUUUGACCGAGCACAGCUAGAAAACACGUAAUUACAUGGGCCAAAGCACAGAGAAUGGUGCCCACUGCUUUGCUGGUCAAGUGCAGCACAUGAGGGGAAUAGAACCGCUUGGAAAUGAAGUGUACAUUCACACCUCACCACAUCCUCACUGCAGAGUUUACGGCUUUCAGGCUUGGGCAGCAUGAAAGGCAAAAAUCUCCCAGGAGCAGUGAUGGAUUGCGUGGCAUGAAAAAUCACAAAUGGUCAGUACUGGGGAUGGGGGUUCCACCAUCCAGCCAGAUGCAAGCAGUCCAGGUGAGCACUGGUGAGACAGCACUUGGCAUCUCGCAGGAACGAUCCUUCUGGGCUGUAAUCCCCCCUCUCCUGGUGCAUUUUCUGUUUUCUCUGUUGUUGACCUGCAGUGAUGGAGGAAAGGGGUUGGACAUAGAUGGUGCUCUGAGCAGGAGUGGGGUCUGCUGGAGAGGGAACAGCUGUGGGGCUGGGAGGGAAACAGAGACGGGAAUGAGACAGAUACAUUUCCCCUCUGGGAGGAUGGGCUCAGGCAGCCUGAGGAAAAUAAGGCUAAAAUGAAAGGGAGGAAACCAGAGAAGAGAAGAUGGAACAAGGGAGAUCACAGAGAACAACAGGAAGCAGUGCUGAGACGACAGACAUGAAGGCUGGGCUUGUGGGAGAAAAACAAACAGAGUAAAAAAAAAAAUCAGGAAUAUUGUGCAAAAGACAGAAAGAAUUUUUUAAAAAGUCCUAUAAAAGUGCCAACUACCCAGCUGCUGUAAGUAAAACUCCAGUACACUUACGUCAACACCACACCACAGAUCAGCACCAGGGGAGGAGGUCUGGGGUUGUUUUUUAAUUGCUUGGAAAGGCUUCCAGUGAUGCAGAACGUGAACUCCGGCUUCCACUGAUGUCAAAGGGAUUUAGAGGUGCUCACGGUCUCACAAAACCAAGACCCAGCUUGUCAAAGUGCAUGAGACAAGAUGCCGCAUUCAUCCCUCGAGAAGAGCCAGCUUUGCACAUUGCCUGACCUGCACCUCGAUGGCACACGUGUGGCAGGGACACGAGGACACAGGGACACAGCUCAGCUCUGCCCACAACACACCAGGCUUUUGCUUUGCUCUCCCUGAUGAGCAGCGAGGUCCUUGGUUUGCACAGCCAGGCGUGAGUAGGGGUAAGAGGCAUCCGCUUUGCUGGUUGAAGUGAAAUGUUUGGCUUAUUGGCACAGCUUGUUUAGAUUGGCUCCUAGCACUCAGUCGAUGUUAUUAGAGAAAGCAAUCAAAAUGCAUUAAAUACUAGGAACUACAUUAAAACAACAUGGAGCAUGCAACACAAACCAAGAAAAGCAAGGGGCUGAGUAUGGAGUCUGCCAUCCCCUCAGUCAUGAGUAUGAAUAUGGUGGAGCCAUGUCACAGCGACGUUUGGAGAGGUAGAGCUGGUGAGUUCUUGCAUGCUGCAACACGGAAGAUUUCAUCUCCUUUUCCUCUCCAAACCACAGCUUCUAGAAAGACUUUGAAAUGCUGCAGUCAGCUCCUACGCCUCCCUGCUGAGCUCCUUCCAGACUGAGCUCUUAAAUUUGCUAUGUUUUUGCCAAGACCUAAUUUUCUUUUGACCACAUAUUAAAGGGCAGAUUCCCAUGCCACAGGGAGGGACUGAGAAGUCAUAACGGACACAUCCGUCACCUGUUUGGCCAGAGAUAACUGCUCUACCCCAGUUCUGCAGCUCCAUCAGACUUCUCAGUUUCUUCUUUGGCCUUGAGAUAGGUCUCCAGGGGCUCUGGGAUCCCUAACUUAUCUGUUUUGUUAACUGAUUGCAGCCACAGCCAGAUCCUCGCUUUUCUACUAUACUAUGAAAAUCACAACUGCAUGUUACACCUGGUUGAACAGCAAGGUGAUUAUUGUAAAGCCUGGAUUUCCCAAGGGAAUAAAGCUGUACAUGGAGCACUGUGUGAGCCGAAUGCGUGCAAGUAGUUCUUGAUCGUGUCAGGCUAUUUCAAGGAGACAGAGAGGAGGAUUUCUCAGAGCCCUGAAGGUCCCAGACAGACGCUGCUGAUGACAGAUGGAGGACAUGGACACCAUUAGCAUCCCCUGAGGAAAAGACAGCAGCGGAUGCUCCCUCUACACCAGACAGCAGAGAUGCCACAGAGGUGAGCGCUGUUCAUUCAACUCGCUGAUCAUGAAAUUACUCAUUAAUAAUCUCUUUGCGUGAUCGCUUUCUAAUGCCACUCCCCUUCCCCAUCUGCUUGGGGCUGCACCCUGCACAGCUGUCCGCUAACCACCUUCCUCACCCAGCUGCCCAUCACCUCCAGGGCCUCCAGCAGUGAGCCAUCCACGUGUUGCUGCAGCAGCGUAGCAGGGAAACCGGAGAGAGGAUCAACACACGAGGCGCUGGGAGCUGCAGCGGGGCAACAGCUGUCCCUCAGCACAUCCAUUGUUCUUGUGCAGAGAAGCAGCUUUAAGAAAGUGGUGUAAAUUACAGGAACUGGAUCACUGGCUUGAACAAUGUCAGCACGUCCCUUCGAGGGCAUUCACUCCCCCCACGCCAUGAAACGACAAGUUAUUAUUUAACAGCAGACCUCACACAGAGGAAUGUUUUUCUGUAUUCAUGACCUCUAACAAGUAUAGCAAUUGUUUACUAUACUCUGAGUGAUCCAGAAGGAGCUAUAAUGUGAUAAUUAUAGAGAAACCUUCCUAAAAAUAUAUUUCUGAUGCAUCAGCAAAAACUCGGCAGGCCCCUCCAGCUGGCACUGCACAUAUGAGUUAAGCCCAAUUUGAGAAUCAGAUCAUGCACUACAUUUUGUGCAGCUGUGCAGACUCCAACGAGAAGCUCUGGAGCAGAUGUCUUGUAGCAAUGGAGGGCAGGGCAUGAAGAAGCAGAGAAGCAGAAGAGACCAAAGCCACGUUUCUUGACUGAGUGGUCAGUGACAUAGGAAAGCAUCAGUUCCAUUUUCAAGUUGGAUAAACUGAGGCUCUGGAAAUCAGAACACCGGCAUUUUCUAAGCUGCUCUCUGACUGGUUGGUGUCUGAUGUUAGAGGUCCAGCUCGACUCCAGGCUGCGCCUGCUUCCCCCACAACUACUGAGCCUCUGCAUUUUUCAUGAAGGGAUACAAUUCAUUACAGUGAUUUUUUGUUCCGACAUGCUGCAUUUGUACACCUGCUCCAUGCUCAGCGCUUCCAAACCCCAGCAACGCUCUUUGAAGAAACACCCAGAAACGCCUCAAGAUGUUCCUGCCUUGCAGCCAAGCCACUGAAAAGCCAACCUGCUGCUGCUGCCCAGAGCCCUGAGGCUGACCUGACCCCUCUGCUGCUGUUUCCGCUGAUCAGACUGUGAAGGGAAGCCAGCGCACAGGUGUUUGUUUUCUUUGCCCAGCACAGCACUUCCCUGAAGACAAGCUGGGACUUCACAGUCUCUGUAGCUCCUUGGCAGCAUCUGCAGUCUUCUGUGCCUCAGUUUCCUCACCUGCAGAAAGGCCCACAUGACAAACCCUGAACCCAGGGCUGUGUUAAAGUUUGGAAAACACACAGCACCUUGAAAGAGGGCUUCUAUGGAAGCACAAACAGUCCUUUAUUGCUUCAAUUAAAAAGAGCGUGUUUUACAAUCCACGGUCUGUUUAUACUUGCACUUCUUAUGGAUAUCUCUGAAAAGAACCCAGCCUCAGCAGCUCAUGGAUUUGGCACAGCACGCCAAAUAAUAAGCAGGCUCACCAACCCUUCUACAACACACAGUGCUUCUGUGUAACUUUGCAGGCUGUGUUUGACUUGCCUGAACUUGAACAGUCACCACUGAUUGAUUGGCUUCUAAAAAUACACAUAUGCCAUGGUUCGGAGUCCAGAGAGCUUCUGUUGAUUUAGAUGGAGACCUUGCUGGGAAGAGGCUAAGACAGACACCUGACACCAGGGUGCUGCUGUGCCGGCCACUUGCUGCCGACUGCACAGGGUGCUCUGAAUGCAGGGCUCCACCACGCUCAGCAGCCCUCCAUACCUCAGAGUGGGGAAAAAAGCAGAAAGAAAGCAGCCGUAUGGAUCCCUUCCCUUCCUGCAACUCCAUUUCCAGGCUGCCCUGCAGCUGUUGGUGAUAAGCAGAGUGAACCUGCACAUAUCCUGCCAGAGGGCUGAGCUCAGGUGCUGAGCACCUGCGGCUCCCAGCAGUCAGGGGGGUGCUCAGUGCCCUGCUGAGCUGGGGGGGCUCCCAGCAGGGAUGUGACUCCUGCAAGGGAGAUGCAUUGCAUUGUACCCUGGAGGAGGCUGCAAGCACAUGAUUAUUGCAACAGAAGCCGCUAGGAGAAAAAACAGAUUACCAUUUCCAUUGGAGGUAAUAGGUGCCAUGUUGAUUUAUAAACCUGUCACUGCUGGCCAUUAAGCAAACGCUGUUGCAGCUCCUAGAUCCCAUUCCGGAGCACACAGUCUCUGGCACAAUGUCUUGGAGAGCUCCACUGUAGGGCAUAGGGCCACAGCUUCUCCCUGUAGUGACCAUGAUGUUAGCACUCCCAGUUACAUGCACCCACAUCGCUACAGCUGAAGCUUCAAAAUACAUUUUGGAAAGGGAAGGAGGUGUGGGGCUGCAGGGAGCCAUGGCACAGAGCAGAGGAGCUCAAGCAGCUGAAGCUUGCCACAGGGAAACUGCAGAAAGUCAGGAGCAAAGCAAAGCAGUGUCUGUGCAUUCUGGGUGUGAUGCACUGACAGCAGCAUGCUGGGCACUGGUGAGGAACACAGCAACACCAGGUUUGCUAAAGAAGUGAAACUGAGACAGUUUCCAGCACUGUGCCCAUGCUGGCAGGUCUCAGGGCCACUCUGCUCACUUACCUGCUGACAUCGGAGCUAACAAAAGACAAAGCAGAGUGCAGUCAAAUAUAUACACUGGAUGUUGCCAUGCUACUGAAUGCAGCUUAGCACAGCAGGACUUUUUCUAAAUGAUGUAUUGUAGCUGAGCUAAAACCUAAAUAAUAAUGCUUACUUUGGCUCUCUGGAAGAUCACAGCUAGACAGCAGCCUGUGGAAUACCACGGCUAGUGGAAGAAAUCAUCGGUAUUCUAGGAGCACAUGGGACUGGAGAUGAUCACUGCAGCCAGACUCCUCUUUCACAGCAUCACAUGCCAGCUCAUUUGUGUGUGGGUUAUGCAAUGGAACCCGGCCCUGCUCUCCUGAUGCAACGUCUUGCAGAAGCUGGUUGCUCCAAGACUCAGAACCCUCAUUUCCAGCAAACCAGUGCCCUCUCUUCAGCUCUGCCACACCGAACAUCCCACAUGGUCACUUCUGUGUCACUCACUGUCCCAGUCAUCUUCUGAGUUCUGCUUUGGAUUCCUCCUUCCCAAAGACAGCUGAUGGGAAUUGGCUGUGACUUUCCAGAUGGAGGCUGAGCAGUUCCUUGUAUGGUGGCAGAAGUGCUUCCCCAUCUUUACUGGAAAUAUCCUGCCUAAUAAACCCGAUGAUCUCACUUGGCUUUUGUGUUCAGUUUUAAAAGAGGUAUAAAAGCAGGCUCUCCAAUAUUUCACUUCAUUUUAUUUUAG
ensembl:lncRNA